UACGGGGGGAGCAAGCGUUGUUCGGAUUUACUGGGCGUAAAGGGCGCGUAGGCGGCCACCGCAAGUCGACUGUGAAAUCUCCGGGCUUAACCCGGAAAGGUCAGCCGAUACUGCGGGGCUAGAGUGCAGAAGGGGCAACUGGAAUUCCCGGUGUAGUGGUGGAAUGCGUAGAUAUCGGGAGGAACACCAGUGGCGAAGGCGGCUUCCUGGACCGGUUCUGACACUGAGGAGCGAAAGCGUGGGGAGCGAUCCGG
rnacentral:rRNA from 1 species